AUGGACGCAAGUCUGAUGGAGCAACGCCGCGUGAGUGAAGAAGGGUUUCGGCUCGUAAAGCUCUGUUGGUAGUGAAGAAAGAUAGAGGUAGUAACUGGCCUUUAUUUGACGGUAAUUACUUAGAAAGUCACGGCUAACUACGUGCCAGCAGCCGCGGUAAUACGUAGGUGGCAAGCGUUGUCCGGAUUUAUUGGGCGUAAAGCGAGUGCAGGCGGUUCAAUAAGUCUGAUGUGAAAGCCUUCGGCUCAACCGGAGAAUUGCAUCAGAAACUGUUGAACUUGAGUGCAGAAGAGGAGAGUGGAACUCCAUGUGUAGCGGUGGAAUGCGUAGAUAUAUGGAAGAACACCAGUGGCGAAGGCGGCUCUCUGGUCUGCAACUGACGCUGAGGCUCGAAAGCAUGGGUAGCGAACAGGAUUAGAUACCCUGGUAGUCCAUGCCGUAAACGAUGAGUGCUAAGUGUUGGGAGGUUUCCGCCUCUCAGUGCUGCAGCUAACGCAUUAAGCACUCCGCCUGGGGAGUACGACCGCAAGGUUGAAACUCAAAGGAAUUGACGGGGGCCCGCACAAGCGGUGGAGCAUGUGGUUUAAUUCGAAGCAACGCGAAGGACCUUACCAGGUCUUGACAUCCAGUGCAAACCUAAGAGAUUAGGUGUUCCCUUCGGGG
rnacentral:rRNA from 1 species